UAGGACAUUUAAUGCAUGACAAUUCUCUGAAAUGUGUAGUCCUACAACAAUACAUAUCUUCUCAUGAACUGUCAUAACUUUCAAUUGCACACCAGAUACAGCAGUUAUGUGUCUAUAUUUCAAGUGAGAAUUAUACCUAAGUAUAACGUAAAUGUUUAGUCUAUACAUAGUUACAGAGAAAUUGCAAGAGUCUUGGUGAAUGCAAAGACAAAAAAGAAGGGACCCAUUUGAUCACUAGGUGACCUCCACUGCUUUGUUUAGGUGACCGGCAGUCCCCAACCCCCAAACAUCACCAGCUCUCUCUCUCCCUCUUCCUCAAAUCCUGGUUGACCUCUGCUCUGCCUCCAUGGCUCUUUGACCUCGUAUUCUCGGUCACUCGCCUGUAGCUAAUGCCUUCAUGAUGUGGCCCUCUGCUCAAUCCUCUAUCUCUUUCUCCUAAAAAUCGUUCUUGUCGCGGCCUUGCUUCGCCUCUGGAUUCGCCGUCUGUGCUUUCGCCACCGAGAUCUGGACUGCUUGCUGAGAGCUUAUGGACACUUCUCAGAUACUUCGUGGUCAACGGCACUGUCCGAAGAUCUUGAGACUGCCGUAGUCUACCCUGCUAUUUCAAUGUAGAAUAGCCUAUAGAUACUUUUCAAAAAUAAAACAUAGCCUAUUAAUGUCAAAAGGUAGCCUAAUAUUUACUUAAAAUAAGAUAGGCUAGACUGUAAGAUUCUAGUUACAAUGUACCCUCUAUGGCGUUUUUGGAUGAAACAGACAUCCAAAUCCAUCUGUAACUAUCCACUAAGGAUAUUUACAUCAUCUUUGCGUCUUAAGGACCAACUGUGGACGGCUCAUCAUCAGGUUUAGAUAGACUGGCAAACACACACCAUACGCAAACACACGCGCAGAAUAUUUUUAUGUAAUGGUUCAGCACGGAAUGAGCAACAUGUCAGACCAACUAAGAAAAGGAAAAAGAAACAAGAGAAUAUUCGCGGCUAAGGACCAGAAAUCCCGAAGAGAGUCAAGGAUGCAAAAUAUCUGAAGAAUUAAUAGCAGUUGCAACGAGGGCUACUGGGUGAAAAGAGAAGUGUGGUCAGUUGUAGCCUACAGCUCGGACAAAAUACCCGUCUUGACCGAGACAGCAACUCUCCAAGUGAAGGCACAAAAUGAAAGUUGGAGUCUUGCGGCAAUGUGCUCACAGCCCUUCACUAAACACCGGACGUCUGCGGACUGUCUAUCGGCAAAAUAUAUGCAUUUCUCGGCCACGCUCCGGAGCAGUAUCCGCUGCAUUCGGGCGAUUCAAAACCCUUGCGUCAGUAGCCUACAAGGAUCCAAUGUGCUUCUUCAGUUAUAAACAUAAAAGACUACUGUUUUGUAACAACAAUAAUUGGCAACCUAUCUAUGCCUGGAGGGAACAUAUUGUCUUUUUGAUGUUAUUUUUACCUGUCAAGCACCAACCGAUGUCGAUCGACCAGACGUAAACACAGCCUUUGGAAGAAGAUAAAGAAAACCAAAACCACUAGCCAACAAUGCCAUAAAAAUGCGGAGAAAACGCCAAGAGAAAGAACCGGUGGAGCCAUGGCGCAUGAGCCACACCGGCGAGGUCAAACGCUCAGCCAGCGCCCUCUGACGUCCGUGAUGCCUGAUGGACAACCGGACGCGCGGAAACAUUCACUACCUAGCUGCUGUGUUCAUUGGGAUAAUAUGGCGUUUCUUGCAAAGUAGUCUACUCUACAUAACCUACAGCGAAAAACGCAUAUCCUACCCAAGUAGAGGAUAUGGCAGGUGAUGAUCCUCCAAAAUAAAUACACUGCAUAAAAGUCCCUUCAUCCUUAUUAUUUUCUUUCAACACCUUAUCGUCUUCUCUUUUGCCUAUCCCACUAUCAACUAACAUCUUGGGUAGGCCUAUUCAUUUAUUAAUCUUUUCGAUGUCAUAACAAUAGCCUACUUAUUCUUAGAAUGAUCA